AACGAACGCUGGCGGCAUGCCUAACACAUGCAAGUCGAACGAUCCCUUCGGGGAUAGUGGCGCACGGGUGCGUAACGCGUGGGAACCUGCCCUUAGGUUCGGAAUAACUCAGAGAAAUUUGAGCUAAUACCGGAUAAUGUCUUCGGACCAAAGAUUUAUCGCCUUUGGAUGGGCCCGCGUUGGAUUAGCUAGUUGGUGGGGUAAAGGCCUACCAAGGCGACGAUCCAUAGCUGGUCUGAGAGGAUGAUCAGCCACACUGGGACUGAGACGCGGCCCAGACUCUUACGGGAGGGAGGAGUGGGGAAUAUUGGACAAUGGGCGAAAGCCUGAUGCAGCAAUGCCGCGUGAAUGAUGAAGGCAUUAGGGAUGUAAAGCUCUUUUAACCGGGAUGAUAAUGACAGUACCGGGAGAAUAAGCCCCGGCUAACUCCGUG
rnacentral:rRNA from 1 species